rnacentral:rRNA from 1 species
AUUAGAGUUUGAUCCUGGCUCAGUCGAACGCUGGCGGCGUGCCUAACACAUGCAAGUCGAACGGUCCACUCCUUUCGGGGAGUGAGGCGAGUGACGGACGGGUGAGUAACACGUGAGCAAUCUAUCCUGUUGCGGGGGACACGAGGGGAAACCUUCGCUAAUACCGCAUAGUCGAGAGACUCGAUGAGUCUUUUGGAAACGUGGCCUCUUUACAAUGCUACGGCGGCAGGAGGAGCUCGCGGGCUAUCAGCUAGUUGGUGAGGUAACGGCUCACCAAGGCGGCGACGGCUACGGGGUCUGAGAGGACGACCCCGCACAUUGGAACUGAGACACGGUCCAGACUCCUACGGGAGGCAGCAGUGGGGAAUAUUGGGCAAGGCCGAAAGGCUGACCAGCGACGCCGCGUGUGGGAGGAAGCCCUUCGGGGUGUAAACCAAAGUCAGGAGGGACGAAAGAGUCGGGGGUGAAUAAUCCU